rnacentral:rRNA from 1 species
CCUACGGGAGGCAGCAGUGGGGAAUAUUGCGCAAUGGGCGGCAGCCUGCCGCAGCGACGCCGCGUUAGGGCUGAAGGCCUUCGGGUUGUAAACCUCUUUCCGCAGGGAGGAAGCGCAAGUGACGGUACCUGCAGAAGAUGCACCGGCUAACUACGUGCCAGCAGCCGCGGUAAUACGUCGGGUGCAAGCGUGGUCGUGAAUUAUUGGGCGUAACGAGCUCGUAGGCGGUUUGUCCCGUCUGUUGUGAAAACGCGGGGAGCAACGCCGCGCCUGCAGUGGGUACGGGCAGACUAGAGUGCAGUAGGGGAGACUGGAAUUCCCGGGGGAGCGGUGGAAUGCGCAGAUAUCAGGAGGAACACCGGUGGCGAAGGCGAGUCUCUGGGCUGUAACUGACGCUGAGGAGCGAAAGCGUGGGUAGCGAACAGGAUUAGAUACCCUUGUAGUC